GAAUUUGACCUGCCAAAUGAUCGUAGCCGAUACGCGUUCUCUUUAGCUACUAAGCUUCUCUGGCUUGUUUUUCCGGACACCCGUGUCGUGUUCUUCUCGUACGAAAAACUCUUCCUCCAUGAGCCCAUAAGAAUCUUGAAGAAAUUAAAGAACUUUGCGCGUAGCCGUUGAACGUAAAAUCUUUUGCAAUUUAGCCGGAAACCUCUUGUCGGAUAAUAUCUUCGACCAACUCUGUUGUAACUCAUAUGACCCAUUUGGAUUUUUUGAUCAAAUUGUUGUUGGAGAAAGAUGGUGAUGGCAAUUGUCUUUGGUCGUCGUUGAUAUUUAUACCUAAAAGAUUGAAGAGGAGGGUGAAGUUGACUUUCUAGGAAAGUUGAAGGGUAGAUUCGUCAUUUAACAAAUUAUUAUUAUUGCUAUUGGUGAGGAUUCCGUAGAUGAUGGGAAGGGACUUGGAAAAUGAUGAAAUUAGUUUUAUAUCUAUGAAGUAG
rnacentral:lncRNA from 1 species